GACGUAGGGGGCAAGCGUUGUUCGGAUUUAUUGGGCGUAAAGAGCUCGUAGGUGGUUUGUCGCGUUGUUCGUGAAAUCUCACGGCUUAACUGUGAGCGUGCGGGCGAUACGGGCAGACUAGAGUACUGCAGGGGAGACUGGAAUUCCUGGUGUAGCGGUGGAAUGCGCAGAUAUCAGGAGGAACACCGGUGGCGAAGGCGGGUCUCUGGGCAGUAACUGACGCUGAGGAGCGAAAGCGUGGGGAGCGAACAGG
rnacentral:rRNA from 1 species